rnacentral:rRNA from 1 species
UUUAUGGAGAGUUUGAUCCUGGCUCAGGAUGAACGCUGGCGGCGUGCCUAAUACAUGCAAGUCGAGCGAACGGACGAGAAGCUUGCUUCUCUGAUGUUAGCGGCGGACGGGUGAGUAACACGUGGAUAACCUACCUAUAAGACUGGGAUAACUUCGGGAAACCGGAGCUAAUACCGGAUGAUAUUUUGA